GAGUGAAGGCUGUAAUUGCAAAGAUGUUUUCACAUGGGUGAAUUGGAAGCCCUAUGGAUGAAAAGCAAACGACGGAAUAGGGCCCUGGAUUGCUUGGCUGAAUGGAAGGGAAAAUGAAACAAGCUGAAGACUAUAGGAUGUCAACUGUGGAUACAACUCACAAGCUACCAUAUUGAUGUGACAUGAUGAAGUGGGAAGGAAAGCCAUCUGGAGUUUCACUGGUGAAUUGAUACAUCUUGCACUUAACAUUGUGUAUCCCCUGGACUUUGAUCAAAUGGACAUGGGCUUUCUGAUCUACUGCAGAGUGCCUGGAAAUUCAGGCUCCUAGGAGGAAGGAACUUGCAUUAUCUCAGGUGAGACUUUGGACUUGGACUUUUGGAUUAAUGCUGGAGUGAUAUAAGACUUUGGGGGACUGUUGGGAAGGCCUGAUUGUGUUUUGAAAUGUGAGAACAUGAGAUUUGAGAGGGUCCAGGGGUGGAAUGAUAUGGUUUGGCUGUGACCCCACCCAAAUCUCAUCUUGAAUUGUAAUCCCGAUAAUCCCACCUGUUGAGAAGGGGCCUGGUAAAUGAUGGGAUCAUGGAGGCAUUUUCCCCCAUGCUGUUCUCAUGAUAGUGAGUUCUCAGGAGAUCUGAUGGUUUUAUAAAUGGCAGUUUCCCCUAAGCUUUUCUCUCUCUUCUGCUGCCUUGUGAAGAGGUACUUGCUUCUCCUUCACCUUCCAUCAUGAUUGUAAGUUUCCUGAGGCCUCCCCAGCCAUGUGGAACUGUG
rnacentral:lncRNA from 1 species